rnacentral:rRNA from 1 species
GAUGAACGCUGGCGGCGUGCCUAAUACAUGCAAGUCGAGCGCAAAGAUAAGGAGCUUGCUCCUUUGAUUUGAGCGGCGGACGGGUGAGUAACACGUAGGCAACCUACCCUUGAGAUUGGGAUAACUACCGGAAACGGUAGCUAAUACCGGAUACGACCUUUCUGCAUAAGCGGACUGGUUAAAAGGCGGAUUUAUCUGCCGCUCAUGGAUGGGCCUGCGGUGCAUUAGCUAGUUGGUGAGAUAGUAGCUCACCAAGGCGACGAUGCAUAGCCGACCUGAGAGGGUGAUCGGCCACACUGGGACUGAGACACGGCCCAGACUCCUACGGGAGGCAGCAGUAGGGAAUCUUCCGCAAUGGACGCAAGUCUGGCGGAGCAACGCCGCGUGAGUGAUGAAGGGUUUCGGCUCGUAAAACUCUGUUGUUAAGGAAGAAUACUUGAGGUAGUAACUGGCCUUGAG